rnacentral:rRNA from 1 species
UACGAAGGGGGGCUAGCGUUGCUCGGAAUCACUGGGCGUAAAGGGUGCGUAGGCGGGUCUUUUAAGUCAGGGGUGAAAUCCUGGAGCUCAACUCCAGAACUGCCAUUGAAACUGUUAGACUUGAGUACGAGAGAGGUGAGUGGAAUUCCCAGUGUAGAGGUGAAAUUCGUAGAUAUUGGGAAGAACACCAGUGGCGAAGGCGGCUCACUGGCUCGUAACUGACGCUCAGGCGCGACAGCGUGGGGAUCAAACAGG